rnacentral:rRNA from 1 species
CCCUUAGAUGUCCUGGGCCGCACGCGCGCUACACUGAUGCAUUCAACGAGUUUUUCCUUGGCCGAGAGGCCUGGGCAAUCUUUUGAACGUGCAUCGUGAUAGGGAUAGAUUAUUGCAAUUAUUAAUCUUGAACGAGGAAUUCCUAGUAAACGCAGAUCAUCAGUCUGCAUUGAUUACGUCCCUGCCCUUUGUACACACCGCCCGUCGCACCUACCGAUUGAAUGGUCCGGUGAAAUCUCGGGACGGCGGCUUGGUCGCUUGCGUCCGACUGCUGAAACUUGAUUAAACCAUAUCAUUUAGAGGAAGGUGAAGUCGUAACA